rnacentral:rRNA from 2 species
UGAUGUAAACUUGCUUCUAUGACGUUAGCGGCGGACCGAUAUGAAGAUAACACGUGGGCAACCUGCCUGUAAGACUGUUAUACCUUCAGGAAACCGAUGCUAAUACCGGGAUAGGAUCUUCUCGUUCAUGGGACAUGAUUGAAAGAUGGUUUCGGCUUUCACUUACAGAUGGGCCCUCUGUGUACUAACUCGGCGAACAAGGUCCCAUCUCAUUGAGGGCCGAAGAGUAUCCGACCUGGGUGGGUGAUCGUCAACAGUGGGCCUGAACAUCGGGCGAGACGCCGACGGGAGGGAGCUGUGGGGAAUUUUCCGCAGUGGACGAAAGUCGGAGGGAACAACGCCGCGGGAUUGAUGAAGGCUUUCGGGUCGUAAAACUCUGUUGUCAGGAAAUAUCAUUUACGAGAGUAACUGCUCGUACCUUGACGGUGGCGAGCCCGGAAGCCACCCUAAACUACGUGCCAAGCAGCCACGGUAAUAUGUAUGUGGCAAGCGUUAUCCGGAAUUAGGGGCCGCAAAGCGCGCGCAAGCAGUUUCUUAGGCAUGAUGUGAGACCGCACG